rnacentral:tRNA from 1 species
GUCGUCGUGGUGUAGUUGGUUAUCACAUUCGCCUCACAUCUGCAGGCUUCGAGCCCCGCAUGUGCGUCCGCGAAAGGUCUCCAGUUCGAUCCUGGACGACGACA